GUUCUACUGCGGCGUUGGUGACUGCCAAUAUGUUUUGUGAUCUAUGCUGUUUGAAUGAGGGAAUCUCAACUGUCGGUGGCAGUAGACCGGGCUUGUACCCGGAAACUUUAAACCAGACGUUAAGGUACCCACCUGGAUUUUUCCAGGUCAAAAACUGAGGUAAGACGGCGUCGCGGGGAACUU
rnacentral:other from 2 species